rnacentral:rRNA from 1 species
GCGUUGUCCGGAAUUAUUGGGCGUAAAGAGCUCGUAGGCGGUGUGUCACGUCGGUCGUGAAAACUUGCAGCUUAACUGCGAGCUUGCGGUCGAUACGGGCAUCACUGGAGUUCGGCAGGGGAGACUGGAAUUCCUGGUGUAGCGGUGAAAUGCGCAGAUAUCAGGAGGAACACCGGUGGCGAAGGCGGGUCUCUGGGCCGAUACUGACGCUGAGGAGCGAAAGCGU